rnacentral:rRNA from 1 species
UACGUAGGUGACCAGCGUUGUCCGGAUUUACUGGGCGUAAAGAGCGCGCAGGCGGUCGAUCAAGUCGCGUGUGAAAGCCCCCGGCUCAACUGGGGAGGGUCACGCGAUACUGAUCGACUCGAAGGCAGGAGAGGGUAGUGGGAUUCCCGGUGUAGUGGUGAAAUGCGUAGAUAUCGGGAGGAACACCAGUGGCGAAGGCGACUACCUGGCCUGUUCUUGACGCUGAGGCGCGAAAGCUAGGGGAGCAAACGGG